rnacentral:sRNA from 1 species
GCUGAGUGUGGUGGCACAUGCCUGUAAUCCCAGCACUUUUGGAGGCUGAGGCAGGAGGAUGGCAAGUUUGAGGCCAGCCUCAGCAACUUACCAAAGCCCUCAGCAACUUAGUGAGACUCUGUCUCUA